UUAAUCUUCCGAGGUGGCUUGUAUGAGUCUUCAGCAUUCUCAGCUGGAGGGUGACCAGGGUUGUGACCAUAAUGUGGUGGCUUCUCUCCCUUAGGUGGUUUGCCAACUGGGGUUGGUGGCUUGUAUGAGUCUUCAGCAUUCUCAGCAGGAGGGUGACCAGGGUUGUGACCAUAAUGUGGUGGCUUCUCUCCCUUAGGUGGUUUGCCAACUGGGGUUGGUGGCUUGUGUUCUGGGAGUGGCUUCUCCCCCUUGGGAGGUUUUUCCAAUGGGGUUGGUUUGUGUUCAGGAGGUGGCUUCUCCACUGGAGGCUUGUGUUCAGGAGGUGGCUUCUCCACCGGAGGCUUGUGUUCAGGUGGUGGCUUCUCCACCGGAGGCUUAUGCUCUGGUGGUGGCUUCUCGAAUGGGGGAUGCUUAGGAUAAUCAGCAAGUGAGGGGGCGGUGAGAACCACCAGGCCAAGCAACACCACUAGCAAAUAUGUAGGAGACAUCUUUGGGUUUGGGCUCAGAUGGUGCAAAACUAGGAGAAUUGGCUAGCCUUUUAUAGCGGAUCGUACCCAAUAAUGAAAUGACACGUGUCAUUAUGACCCAUGUGUAAUGGGGUCGAUUUGGGUCCUACAGUGUUGAAAACUUCGACAUCCACUUUUGGCCUUUUGCUUUCUCUACAGCCGCCUUGCUUUUUCCCUCUUUCCUUUUGUUUUCCUCCUGCCCCAUUCUAUCAACUAAACACAAUUAUGUAGUUGUUUAAUUCUUAAAUGAGAUAUUAUCCGUCAAUCGUAUUAUAUUUUAUCAAGAGAGAACGGAGUGCAAUGUGGCUGUAAUUUUAUCGUUUAGUUUUAUCUCUUGGACCACUGCAUUUUUGUUAAGAGGUGCAAUAAUACACGUCUUUAUCUGCCAUUCAAUAUUUACAGUAAAGAGAGGGCACAAAACUCUUCACUUCGCACCAUAAUUAUUUUGUUUUCUGGACACCCCGGGGCCCUUUGGUUGGUUUGGGGGUCAGAAAGUGAACAUCAUAGGGGGUUUUUCCCUUAUGUGCAUUUGUAUCUGAUGGCUUUAACUCGCCUUGUUACUACAAAGAAACUGUCACAGAUAGGAACUUAUUCCAGGCUGAGUAUCUCCUCAUAGACCCUAUAAAAGAAGACAAGUCAUAAUGAACAUCUAACCUUUGUUCAAUUUGAUUCAAUGCCCCCAUUGUGUCCAUCUCACAAAUCUGAAUUAUUAUAUCCAUUGAAUACAUAAAUUAAUGAAGAAAAUAUGAAACCCAAGAUACAUCUCUGCACAACCUCAACCCUGGUUGCUAUGUUUCCCUUCUAUUCACAUGAUUUGAUGCUAAUUGCCAAACUUGCAACAAGCCCUGAGUUUGACACCUAGUAUCGAUGGGCGAAUUUAAAGUCUCCUCCAAACAUAUAUUCCACAGCUUGAAGCUCACAGAAGAUGUUACAGGCAGGGAAAAACCUUCAGAGUUCGCUACCAAAGAUAAUUAUUAAGGAGAUAUCACAAAGAGAAUUCCAAGGGGUCUGAAUCAAAGACAAAUUGGUCGUUCGUGGGGGUUCUUACUUUCUUUUGGGUAUAACUCACUGAGGGCACUGUCUUUGUUAUUUGCAUUUCACAUUUAGAGUUCUGUUCUGGAAACAUAUAAAAGGAGCAUCAUUUUGUUCUUGGGUAACCCAUAGUCGUGAGUGGGUCCAUUUGCAUGCUACUUAGUUGAAAAGUUGGACCAUUUGCUCCGACGCCUACCUCCCGGAUUCCAUGCUCGGAUAAAACAAGAAUAAAAAAAAUAUUUAUAAUUUACAAAUGGGGGAAAGAAAAAAAUGUCAACAACAAACCAGGAAAAAAGAGUAGUAAAAUUCAUGUCACAUGCUAGUGAGAGAAGGGGUUGUUACACUCACUCGAAGUUCUUUCCAAAAUAUCGCAUGGUAUUUUAUUUUAUGUGUCAGCGCAGUUGUGAAUGGAACGUGCAAAAGUCCAAAUUGGCGUUUUUCCUUUUCCCGUGUAGGAUGGCGACCUUUAAUAAAUAUUUAAAACAAAAAACGAAAAAAAGGAGGGAAAAGGGAUCAGAAAAGAUAAAACAAUGUGUACAAGAGCUCAAUUAGUUUGCAAAUUACUGUUUGGAUUUUGAUAGUAUUUUAUUUGUCCAUCUAUAUUUGAUGGAAAAGAGAAUUUAAGAUAUUUCUGAAACAAAAGCAUUAGUGUAAAACUAAAUUAAGGUAUAAUUAAGUUAGUUCAAUGCAUUAAUUUAAGAAACUUGAUCUAUCCAAAGUACAAAAUUAGAUGAAAUCCAUUUCAAUGGUUAAAAUGAUCAAAAUCAAACUUUUUCUAAGUAUUUUUUAAAAGCAUCAAUAUUAAAAGACAAUUUUAUAUUUAGUCGGAGUUUGGACAAAACCAAAAAGCACACAAAAUCCAAGCGACCAUCUCUAGCUUGGAUAGUCACUUGAUCCCACCUAGAGAUGUGCAUGAGUAAAAGGAUUUGAAAAUGGAAAUUGACUAAAUAUUUAGUUGAUCAAUUAAAUUUGCAAUGUCAUAUGCAAUCCUAAUAGCUAGUCAUCUAAUCAAUUAGGUAGUCAAUCAAGUGUUUGUAAUGACUAUUUUGUACAAAAAACCACAUGUAUAGUUAAAUAUAAUGCAUUUCAUUUAUAAAUCUUCUAAUUCUUGAAUAACGAUCCUAUCAUCCUUUGAAAAUUUUUAUUACACCUUUUUUACUUUUGUUCUAAAACUUACAUAUCACCCUUAAUUGUACCAUGAGAACCUAGCUAUUUUUUUUUUUUUUGUAAUUCAUCAAAGUUAGCUUUUGUAUUCAUUGUUGUAUUAUUUUUAGUAUAACUUAGAAAGCUAGUGUUUUCAAGUGAGUAAAAUUAACUUGUAAAUAUUGUAAAGAUUCAUUGAUAUGUAUCUUAAACUAAGUGUACAAAUUAAAACAUUUGCUAGUAGAUUUUCUCAAAAUUUAGAAUAGAGCUUGAGGCUAUUGAAAUAGGUGGGGUUACACCAAACCACAUCACAUCGUUGUUUGCACCUUUUUUCACUCUCUUUUACUUAGUUUCUCUAUAUUUGUUGUCUAGUAAUAUCCUAUAGGCUUGAUGGGUUAGGGAGCAUCCCUUUGUGAAAAAAUUUCAUUCAAUUCUUAGUUGUAUUACGCAUAUAUAAAAUGCCUCAUUGUUUUAAUGGUAUUCAGUCGUGGCAUCACAGAUAUGGGCAUCUAAAUUUUAAAAGUUUGAAACUUUUGUAAAGCAUGUUGAUAAAAUCCAUGAGAGUUGUGUACUUGGGAAGCAACAUCGAGGUGACUUUAUUUUUUUUUCCUUUUAUAAUGCCACACCUAAGUCCGGUUUCUAAAUGCUAAAGUGAAAGGGUAGGUAUGGACCAUUGAAAUGUGAUCACAACUUUUGGCCUUUUCCUUUCUCUGCAGCCAUGUUGUCUCUUUUUUCUUUUGCAUGAUUUUCUUACCAAAACAGAAUCAUAGACUUGUUUAGUCUCUAAGCUACUAUAUUAUAUCUCGGUGGACUUUUAAGAGUGCAACCGACAUAGAGCACAUGCAAGUGGGCAUAUGGGACAUGAAAUUUCUUCUUACAAAGAUUGCAUGAUUUUUAUAUUAGAGUUGUUCACGUGCAAUGUAUUUAGCUUGUUUUGCAGUUAAAUUAAUUGGAUAAGUAAACAUUGGCAUUUCUAAAUCGACUGUGAAGUGCUUCAUGUACGUGUAAAGUAUUAGAAAUUUCUUUCUUGGCAACUUGUUUUUUCCUUGCCAUCUACUGGUAGGUUUGACUAAAAUUAUAUUCCCUGUCAUGCUAAUUAAUUUUCAUGUGCAUGCUCAAAAGAAGAGUAUGACCUUAGUGCACCAAAAUCACUUUGAUUAAUUUGUGAUAGGUUUUUUUGCAUCAUUUAGAUAAUGUUUAGUUCUAAGAAAAAUUUAUAUAAAAAUGGUUUAUUUAUCUUACAUAUAUAUAUAUAUAUAUAUAUUUUUUUUUUUUUCAUUUUUUUUUCUUCUAUUUUAUUUAUUUAUUUUAUUUUCCUUAUGUUUUCCUCACAUUUUCCGGAACUAAACAUAGUCUUACGAAAUCAACAAUUGCCUUCAACUGAGUAGAUUCUGUUGUUUUAGCAAUGUUAGGCUGCUAACUUGUGGUGGUACGAACCAAAUGACCCAUGUUAAUCUUGGCUUGGUUUGAUUUGGCUCUAUCUCAGAGAGCUAAAGGAUCACGUCAACUCUGGUUUCUACUAUUCAGGUCCAUUCCCAGAUGAACUGGUUCAAAUUUGAGAAAAUGGUAACAGACCUUUAGUGAUGUUGGUUUGGAGCCAGUUGCCAAACCCGCCCUGAGCUUUACCACUAAUGUCAAGGGAGAAAGCCAUUUGAACAAAAACAAUAGCUUCAAGAGACUGAAUCGUGGAUGAAAUCUGAUCCACAUUUCUUCUCAUUUUGGGAAAAAAUGAGAACUUAACUACAAAGAUUCUACUGCCUCAUUCAUAGUGCUUUUCCUGAUCCAAGGUUGGUUCGUUUCCCAAAUUGUGAGGUGCACGUGCCACUCUCACGCUCAGGAGUGUAUCCACGUGGUGGACAUCAGAUGGUGGCUUAAUAUCUGGUGUCGGUGGCUUUACUUUACUAGGAGAGUAGUGUGUCUUCAUCUCAUUCACUGCCGGAGGGUGGCGUAAGCAGUGACGCUAAGGUGGGGCACAGUCAAUAUCAUUUGCAUUUGACCAUUAUAGUUUUCUCCCGGCUUGAAAGUAACCUUAUCGUGAUAAAGGAUUACUAGCACUAGUUCAGAUGACCGUCAUGUUAAUUCGGACCAUGUUUGUGUCACAUUAUCAGCAACCAUGUGUUUAUGGUUCAUGCUAUCUGCAACUAAACUUGAUAUAUAACCAGGUGAACUUCAAUCAAAAUUCUGGAAGUACUCUUGUGAUAGAUGGUGCCUGUCUGCAGAGUCCAUCAAUUGAAAAAUGGAGUGAGUGUAUCUAUAAGAGGGAAGGCUUGGCAAAUGUUCAGUUUUCUGGGAAUUCAACAAGGAUCUAAAAUAGAUUGUUUUCUUUGCCGACUUCAAUGGUUGAAAUUUGAGAAGAUUGUGUCCACAUAUCACAACUAUUACUGGUCCUUCUGUUGCAAUUUAUCCUGUAAGGCUCUAACAUGUCUUCCAAUUCCCACUUCCCUGUUACUCCAGGAAAGCUAUUUCUGUCAUUGUGAAGAAGAAAAGAGAAUGUACAUAUCGAUGCUUUUAAGUGACUGGAGCAUUCAUAUCAGGUGGUCUGCAGCCAUAUAUGCCACUUUGUGAAGGUUGGAACAGUCAAUCACUAGGCUAUAUAUUGGUGUGGCCCAGCCACUUCAAUCAAGGACAAGUCUUCAUACUUAAAGUCAAAUUCUGCCUUUAGUCUCAUUAUAAAUUGCUGUUUAAAUAUUAAGCAAACUUUUGUUUAAUGCGAUUAAGACAGUACUAACUCAAUACUUGUUCUAUUUUUGGAUGCAAAUGCUUGAUGGUUUCAUCAUUGGAUGGGAUAAAGGUGCAUUCAUGAUUAUGAAUACUUGUAGUUAUAUUUUCAUUCUCUUUUUUCUCAAUGAGACUUGUUGGCACAAUGUUGCUGUUCAGAAACCUACCUCUCCAUGGAAAAUAAGUUGCGAUUGAUAGUACUGGAUAUGUUCAAGAAAGCUAAAUAUAGAUAGCACAAAAUAUUAUCGAUAUAAAUAGCAUUAACAGCGUACGUAUGUCUCAAUGCUCAUCAGCUAUAAGCAUGGGACAAACACUUACUAUGAGCAACUUACGUCAAAAUUCCAGAAUAGGACAUAGAAGUGACAGAUCUAUAUAUAUAGAACACUGCAUAUGAGUCACAAGAAAGGAAAUUACGGGUGCAUAGCAGCUCUUAUUUUACAUACUACUACUCAUACUGAUCAAAGUCACUCAGUUGGGAUGGGUGGGAGUAGGAGGUUUGUGGGGUGGCUUGUGCGGAGGAGUUGGCAGCUUCUUUCCAGGACCUGGUUGCUUCUCUGCUGGAGUUGAAGGAGGCUUAAUCUUCCGAGGUGGCUUGUAUGAGUCUUCAGCAUUCUCAGCUGGAGGGUGACCAGGGUUGUGACCAUAAUGUGGUGGCUUCUCUCCCUUAGGUGGUUUGCCAACUGGGGUUGGUGGCUUGUAUGAGUCUUCAGCAUUCUCAGCAGGAGGGUGACCAGGGUUGUGACCAUAAUGUGGUGGCUUCUCUCCCUUAGGUGGUUUGCCAACUGGGGUUGGUGGCUUGUGUUCUGGGAGUGGCUUCUCCCCCUUGGGAGGUUUUUCCAAUGGGGUUGGUUUGUGUUCAGGAGGUGGCUUCUCCACUGGAGGCUUGUGUUCAGGAGGUGGCUUCUCCACCGGUGGCUUGUGUUCAGGAGGUGGCUUCUCCACCGGAGGCUUAUGCUCUGGUGGUGGCUUCUCCACCGGAGGCUUAUGCUCUGGUGGUGGCUUCUUGAAUGGGGGAUGCUGAGGGUAAUCAGCAAGUGAGGGGGCGGUGAGAACCACCAGGCCAAGCAACACCACUAGCAAAUAUGUAGGAGACAUCUUUGGGUUUGGGCUCAGAUGGUGCAAAACUAGGAGAAUUGGCUAGCCUUUUAUAGCGGAUCGUACUCAAUAAUGAAAUGACACGUGUCAUUAUGACCCAUGUGUAAUGGGGUCGAUUUGGGUCCUACAGUGUUGAAAACUUCGACAUCCAGUUUUGGCCUUUUGCUUUCUCUACAGCCGCCUUGCUUUUUCCCUCUUUCCUUUUGUUUUCCUCCUGCCCCAUUCUAUCAACUAAACACAAUUAUGUAGUUGUUUAAUUCUUAAAUGAGAUAUUAUCGGUCAAUCGUAUUAUAUUUUAUCAAGAGAGAACGGAGUGCAAUGCAGCUGUAAUUUUAUCGUUUACUUUUAUCUCUUGGACCACUGCAUUUUUGUUAAGAGGUGCAAUAAUACACGUCUUUAUCUGCCAUUCAAUGUUUACAGUAAAGAGAGGGCACAAAACUCUUCACUGCUCUGCAUGUGUCCCAAAAAUGCGAUUGGACAAAUUAUGAUUUGCAUGCUAAAAAGAGGCAAAUGAGGUUAAUUCGCACCAUAAUUAUUUGGUUUUCUGGACACCAUAAAAAGAUGUUAUACAGGCAGGGAAAAACCUUCAGAGUUAGCUACCAAAGAUAAUUAUCAAGCAGAUAUCACCAAGAGAAUUCCAUAGAGUCUGAAUCAAAGACAGAUUGCUCGCUCGUGGGGGUUCUUACUUUCUUUUGGGUAUAACUCACUGAGGUCACUGUCUUUUUUAUUUGCAUUUCACAGUUAGAGUUCUGCUCUGGAAGGUUUGUUCUGGAAACAUAUAAAAGGAGCAUCAUUUUGUUCUUGGGUAACCCAUAGUCGUGAGUGGGUCCAUUUGCAUGCUACUUAGUUGAAAAGUUGGACAAUUUGCUCCGACGCCUACCUCCUGGAUUCCAUGCUCGGUAAAACAAGAAUAAAAAAAAAUAUAUAAUUUACAAAUGGGGGAAAGAAAAAAUGUCGGAAAAAAUAGUAAAAUUCAUGUCACAUGCUAGUGAGAGAAGGGGUUGUUACACUCACUCGAAGUUCUUUUCAAAAUAUCGAAUGGUAUUUUACUUUAUGUGUCAGCGCAGUUGUGAAUGGAACGUGCAAAAGUCCAAAUUGGCGUUUUUAUUUUUCCCAUGUAGGAUGGUGACCUUUAAUAAAUAUUUAAAACAAAAGACGAAAAAAAAAAGGAGGGAAAAGGGAUCACAAAAGAUAAAAUAAUGUUUACAAAAGCUCAAUUAGUUUGCAAAUUACUGUUUGGAUUUUGAUAGUAUUUUAUUUGUCGUUCUAUAUUUGAUGUAAAAGAGAAUUUAAGAUAUUUCCGAAGCAAAAGCAUUAGUUUGCUCUGUGAUGUCCCACAUCGAAUAGGGGAGAAAGUUUCUGGCGCUAUAUAUGUAGAGGCUCCUCUUAACCAAGUAGAUGCGUUUUAAAACCAUGAGGGCCCCCUUAGGUCCAAAGCGGACAAUAUCUACAUGAUUGGGUGUAAGUCAUUACAAAUGGUAUCAGAGCCGAUCCCCGACCCCGGUGUGGGGGUUUGUUUGGCCCUGUAAGGGGUGUUUGUCUGUUUGACCCCACAAUCCCAUGGGACACAACGAGGACGUUGUGUCUGCAUGGGGGGGCGUUUGUGAUGUCCCACAUCGGAUAGGGGAGAAAGUUCCUAGUGCUAUAUAUGUAGAUGUUUCUCUUAACCAAGUAGAUGCAUUUUAAAAUUGUGAGGGCCUCUUUGGGCCCAAAGCGGACAAUAUCUACAUGGUUGAGUGUAAGUCAUUACAUGCUCCAUGUCAAUUUCAGCAUUUCUCAUAUGUUUCACACAUACACAGAAGAGCAUCGUUUUUUAAAGCAUGCAUUUAUGUUGGAUUAAUUUGGAUUUUGUGGGAACUGGGGCAAGGAUCACAUGGAAGAGAGGUUGACUUUUUUCAGUACUUCAAUGGUUGAAAUAUGUGAAGGCUUGAUUGAUACUAAAGCUUGAAAUUGCGACUCUGUCAUUUGUAAAAAAAUAUGACAGCUUCCAUGCUCUCGUUUGGUUGCAUUGUCCGGUCGAGAGGUGCAAAAAGCAUUCUCUCUCUUCUAAUAGUCUUUUCGUUUAAAUCAAGGGAUUUGCCUUCCCGGUCGAGGUCCAAUAGAGGGUAACGGUCACCUACUAAACAUUAAAUGCUCCAACAACUAGUGAACUGAUCGACCCCAGCUCGACUAGUUGAGGUUACUUUUUGGUUUUCUUGUCUCCCGAGGUUAGAAACCUAUAAAUAGAGAGCUUCACUUCAUUUAUGAGUAAGAGAACACCUAAAUUUAUUUGUUUACCUACUUGUUUUUGCCAUAAAAGCUCUCAUUUCUUUUCUUGGUGUAUUAAAUCUCCAUUUGCAUAUCCUUUAGUGCACCUUUGUGAUUCAUUCUAGCCUUGAGUUGUAUUUAAGCCUUUGUUGAGCUAGGUUGAGAGUUUCAUACUUGUUUAUUGAGUGUUAAAGCCUUCAAGUGAGUUAAAACUUGAAGAGAUUGUGUAAGAGCCCAUUGGAGUCGGAAUCCAAGUGUAAAGGUGAUUAAAAGCUUGGUUGAAGCUUCAAGUUAGUGGAACUCUCACUCGGUUAUGAGCUUGAGAAGAGUGGACAUAGACAAGGCAGUGUCGAACCACUAUAAAAUCUGAGUUUGAUUUCUCUAACCUUAUCUCUUUAUAUUUGCUUCUCUUGUGCUUAAAUUUUUUGUGUUUAAAAAGAAUUUUUAAAAACUCAAUUCACCCCCUUCUUGGGAGUUUUUCUCUUUUAAGAUCAGCUUUUAUUUUCUCAAUUGGUAUCAGAACUAUGCCUCUUGUUUAAGACUUAAUCGUCUAAGAGGAAAUGGCUAAUCCAUCAAGUUCAUCUCACAUUGAAAGUUUUGCAACCAAUAGACUUCUUUUUUUUUUUUUGCGGGAACUGAUUAUCCCUAUUGGAAAACUAAAAUGACUUGGUUUUUACAAUCAAUUGAUUUAGAUGUAUGAGAUGCCAUUGAAGAUGACCUAACUUUUCCUUCAAAACUAGUUGAUGGAGUCAUGGUUCCAAAACCUAAGCAAGAAUGGGAUGAGCGUGAUUGAAGAAAUUUUCAAUUAAAUGCUAAAGUCGUUUAUACUUUGCAAUGCUCUAUGGACAGAAAUGAAUAUAAUAGAAUAUGUCAAUGCAAAUCGGUUAAAGAAAUUUGGAGAUUGCUUGAAAUAACUCAUAAAGGAACAAAUCAAGUUAAAGAGUCAAAAAUCAAUUUACUUGUUCAUAGAUAUGAAUUGUUUUUUAUGAAAGAUAAUGAAACUAUUGUUAAGAUGAUCACUAGGUUCACCAACAUUGUUAAUGGUCUUAAAGCCUUGGGAAAGACCUACAAGGAAUCCGAAAACGUGAUGAAGAUCUUGAGGUCACUUCCAUCAAAGUGGCAUACCAAGGUCACCGCAAUUUAAGAAGCAAAAGACUUGAUCAAGCUACCUUUGGAGGAGUUCAUAGGGUCAUUGAUGACAUAUGAAAUCAAUUUGGCAAAGAAGUAACAAAAAGGUGAAGACAAAAAGAAGAAGAACAUAACUCUCAAAGCUACAACUAAGGAAGAAGAAGUUGAAGAAGAAAAACAAAUUGAAGAAGAUGAAGAUUUAGCCCUCAUCACAAGAAAGUUCAACAAAUUCAUGAGGGGUGAAAGGUUUAGAAGAAGAAGGUUCACUUCUAGAAGAGACUUUUCUAAAAAGGAAUCUUCAUCUAAUGGUGACAAAAAGAGAUGGGAAGAGAAAAGAGACUUGGUGUGUUUCAAGUGCAAGAAACCGGGACACAUUAAAUAUGAUUGUCCUCUCUACAAAAGUGAAGUCAAGAGGAAAAAGAAUAAGGCAAUGAUGGCCACUUAGAGUGAAAGUGAAGAUGAAUCAUCCGAAGAAGAAAAUGAGAAAGAAGUGGCAAACAUGUGUUUCAUGGCAAUAGAUGAACUUGAUGAGGUAAAAUCUAACCUUAGUGAUUAAGAUAUACAUGAUGCAUUUGAAGAAUUGUAUGAGGAUUUUUAAAAACUUAGUUUGAAAAAUAUUUCUCUUAAAAAGAAAGUUCAACAACUUGACAAAGAACUUAGAGAAGUAAAAGAAAAAUUUUCAAAUGUUAAAGUUUCUAAAACUCAUCUUGAAAAAGAAAAUGAGAUUCUAAGAAAGAAAAAUGAAUAGUUGAACUCCUCUCUUUCAAUCUUUUCUUCUAGACAAAAAUCUUUUGAAAUGAUUCUAACUAGCUAAAAAUGUGUUUUUGACAAACAAGGGUUAAGAUUUAAAUCUUCAAAAAAUCAAAAGUAUUUUAAAAACUAUUUUGUAAAGGAAUCCACAAGUGCAAGUCCUUCCACUACUUGCAACUUUUGUGGAAGAGAAUGGCACAUUAGUAGUACGCCCUUUAAGAAAUGGUUCUCAAAAGAAUUUAAAUGCAAAAACUAAAAAAGAUUUGGAUUGAGAAAUCCAAGGUCACUAACCCUCAAGGACCCAAAAAGAUAUAGGUACCUAAAUCAACUUGAGUUUUAUGUUGUAAGGUUCAAAGAAUGAUAAGUGGUUCUUAGAUAAUGGUUGCUCAAGACACAUGACCGGAGAUGAAUCCAAGUUUGCUUUUCUUAAAAAGAAAAAUGGAGGAUAUGUUACCUUUGGAGACAAUGCAAAAGAAAGGAUGAUUGGUCAAGGCAACAUUGGUAAUGGCACAUCCUCUCUCAUUGAAAGUGUUUUAUUAGUAGAUGGUUUCAAACAUAACCUUUUAAGCAUUAGUCAAUUUUGCGACAAAGGUUUUUAAGUGAUUUUUUAAGCAUCUCAUUGCAUCAUCAAGGAUAUUCAAAAUGAUAAAACCAUUUUCAUGGGCCAUAGAUGUGAUAAUGUUUAUGCUAUAAAUAUUUCAAAAUAUGAUGGCCAUGAUAGAUGUUUUUCAAGCAUGCAUGAUCAAAGUUGGUUGUGCCAUAGGAGAUUGAGACAUGCUAACAUAGACCUCAUUUCCCAACUCAACAAAGAUGAACUUGUUAGAGGCCUUCCCAAAAUAAUUUUUUAAAAAGAUAAAGUUUGUGAAGCUUGUCAAGUGGGAAAGUAAAUCAAAAACUCUUUUAAAAACAAAAACUUCAUUUCCACAUCUAGGCCACUUGAGUUGUUGCAUAUGGAUUUAUUUGGUCCCUCUAGGACACCAAGUCUUAGAGGAAAUUCUUAUGCAUAUGCUAUUGUGGACGACUUCUCUAGAUACACAUGAGUCUUGUUUUUUAGUCAAAAGAAUAAAGUUUUUUAUGAGUUUUCAAAGUUUUGCAAUAAGAUUCAAAAUGAAAAAGGUUUUUCAAUUACUUAUAUAAGAAGUGAUCAUGGGAGAGAAUUCGAAAAUAUUGAUUUUGAAGAGUAUUGCAAUGAGCAUGGAAUUGACCACAAUUUUUUGGCUCUUAGAACUCCUCAACAAAAUGGGGUAGUUGAAAGGAAAAAUAGAACUCUUCAAAAAAUGACAAGAACCAUACUAAAUGAAAACAACUUACCAAAAUAUUUUUAGGCCAAAACGGUUAACACUUCUUGUUAUGUUUUAAAUAGAGUAUUAUUGAGGCUCAUACUUAAGAAAACUCCCUAUGAGCUUUGGAAAAACAAAAAACCCAACAUUAGUUAUUCCAAAGUCUUUGGAUGCAAUAUUUUAUAAUAAACACCAAAGACAAUCUUGGAAAAUUUGAUGCAAAAUUGGAUGUUGGAAUUUUCCUUGGUUACUCAACUUCAAGUAAAGCUUUUCGAGUUUUAACAAAAGAACCAUGGUUGUAGAGGAGUCCAUCCAUGUUAUUUUUUAUGAAUCUCCAAGAAAGAGAGAGGAUUGAUGAUGAUUUAGGUUUGAAGACCUCUAUAGGAAGAUUGCAAAUCGAAGAUAGAAGACAACAAGAAGAAAAUGGAGAGAAUCCAAAGAAAGAAGGAUCACCAUUGGCACUACCCCCUCAUCAACAAGCGCAAGGUGAAUCAAGUCAAGAGCUUCCUAAAGAAUGGAAGUUUGUCAUCAAUCACCCACAAGAUCAAAUUAUAGGCAAUCCAUCUAGUGGGGUAAGAACUAGAUCCUCUCUUAGAAAUAUUUGCAAUAAUCUAGCUUUUAUCUCUCAAAUUGAGCCUAAAAAUAUAAAUGAUGUUUUAGAUGAUGAAAAUUGGAUAAUUGCAAUGCAAGAAGAGUUAAAUCCAUUUGAAAGAAGUGGAGUAUGGGAAUUAGUACCAAGACCUUCAAAUCAAAGUGUUAUUGGAACUAGAUGGAUCUUUAGAAAUAAAAUGGAUGAAAAUAGCAUAAUUGUUAGAAAUAAAGCAAGAUUGGUAGCCCAAGGUUUUAAUCAAGAAGAAAUGAUAGAUUAUGAAGAAACCUUUGCCCCCGUAGCUAGGUUGGAAGCCAUUAGGAUGCUACUUGCCUUUGCAUGUUUUAAAGACUUUGUUUUAUAUCAAAUGGAUGUGAAAAGUGCUUUUUUAAAUGGUUUUAUAAAUGAAGAAGUAUAUGUUGAACAACCACCCGGUUUUCAAAGUUUCAACUUUCCUAACCAUGUUUUUAAACUUAAAAAGACACUUUAUGGUUUGAAACAAGCACCUAGAUCAUGGUAUGAAAAAUUGAGUAAAUUUCUUUUGAAAAAAAUGUUUUAAAAUGGGAAAAAUUGACACAACUCUUUUUAUAAAAACCAAAGAAAAUGAUAUGCUCUUAGUUCAAAUAUAUAUUGAUGAUAUCAUUUUUGGUGCUACUAAUGUCUCUCUUUAUGAAGAAUUUUCUAAGUGCAUGCAUAGUGAGUUUGAAAUGAGCAUGAUAGGAGAACUCAACUUCUUCCUUGGACUUCAAAUCAAGCAACUAAAGGAAUGAACCUUCAUCAAUCAAGCAAAGUAUAUAAGAGAUCUUCUCAAAAGGUUCAACAUGGAAGAAGCCAAAACAAUGAAGACUCUAAUGAGCUCAUCCAUUAAGCUUGAUAAGGAUGAGAAAGGUAAAUCCAUUGACUCUAUUAUGUAUAGAGGCAUGAUAGGUUCUUUGCUCUAUUUGACCACUAGUAGACCUUACAUUAUGUAUAGUGUGUGUUUGUGUACUAGAUUUCAAUCUUGUCUUAAAAAAUCUCACUUAAGUGUCGUGAAAAGAAUCCUCAAAUAUUUGAAAGGGACAAUGGACAUAGGCUUAUGGUAUCCUAAGAGUGAUAACUUUGAAUUAAUUGGUUUUUUGGAUGCUGAUUUUGUCAGUUGUAGGGUUGAAAAAUAAAACACUAGUGGCACUUUUCAUUUCUUAAGACACUUACUUGUCUCAUGGCAUAAUAAGAAGCAAAAUUUGGUAGCUUUGUCAACAGCAGAAGCUAAAUACAUAGCAACUGGUUUAUGUUGUGCACAAAUCCUUUGGAUGAAAUAAACACUUAGUGAUUUUGAUUUAUCUUUUGAGCAUAUUCCUAUUAAAUGUGAUAAUAGUAGUGCCAUAAGUAUAUCAAAAAAUCUCGUGCAACACUCUAGGACUAAGCAUAUAGAGAUUAGACAUAAUUUUCUUAGAUAUCAUACACAAAAGGAUGAUAUAACACUUGAAUUUGUAAGCAUAAAAGACCAACUUGCCGAUAUCUUUACAAAACCUCUAAGAACAUUUUGUUGAUAUUAGAGGACAAUUAGGAGUGAUUUCUUUAUGAUCUAAUGUGAUGAAUUCUUGAUGAAUAUACUUUUUGAUUGCAUGAAUUUCAUGUCAUAUAUGCAUCAUAUAGAAAUAUACUUAGAUAAUGGUCAAAUUUCGACCAAAAAUCAAAAUUCCCAUGGCAUUAGGCAUAAAAAUUUUGGAAUUUCAACUGAAAAUGGUAGGAGGAGGAUCACAAAAUGAGAAAGUAUGCAAAAAUUGAAAAAUCAAAACGUUGACCAAGCGGUCAAUCGGACUAGACCGAUCGACUAGUUUGUCGAGAUUUAGGAUUUUUAAGAGACUCCAACGCUUCAAUUUUUGCACCGUUCUCCUCUAUUUCUUCACGGUUUCUCUGAUUUUGUCUUUUAGAGACUAAUUUGAGUGCGUUUUGGAUCAAUUGAAGCAUUUUGGAUUGGAUUUUAGGAAGAUUGAAAGUUAAGGUUUCGGAUUUGGGUCGCCUUCUCUUCCUCUCGCGUGUCACAAUCAGCUUUAGCAUUGUUCUCUUUCCAUUUUCACACACCUAGGGUUUCAGUUGUGAGCAUCUCUCUCUCUUUACCAACCACUACUCCCUUGCUUCUUCCAUAUGGCUCCUAGGCGAGAGUCCGCUACUUCUAGGGCACAAGGCAAGCACCCAACUGAGUCGUCUCAGUCAAAGGCACGUCGAAAAGUGAGAUUUGACAUUGCCUUGUUCAGUUCCAUGGAGGACUACCAACUAUACAAGCAACACUUUGCUUAGAGACGAGUAGUUCCCAAGAGAAAUAUUAAUUUUCCUCAACUUCAGCAUUUCGAAUUUAAGGGUCUAUUUACUAGGAUGGUUGGUUGUCUAUUGUCACAAUUUCGGAGCCGGUUUUCCUGACCUUAGUGCGAGUUUUUUACUCGAGGGCGACUUAUGGCAUGGGUGGCAUGAUCAUUUCUACUGUUGGAGGAGUUGAGAUCUGUCUGGACCCAGAGAGCAUCUGCCAUAUUUUCGAUAUUGCUCUGGUUGGACUCAAAGUAUACAAGUCCAAAAUGUGGCCCAUUGUGCCAGGAUUUGAGCUUAGAGAGGUCAUUCAGAGGAUUUGUGAACUUCCAGACGCCCAGGAGAUGGGCAAACCAUUGCCACACAGUUUGACGGUCAUCAACAGGGUGCUACACCAUAUAUUGUGCUCUAUCUUUCUACCACGAAGUGGACAUUGAGAUGAGGUCUCUUAUUAUGAGGCAUUCCUUAUUGACUCCAUUCUAACGGAGAGACGAAUUCAUCUACUAUGUCAUCAUUCACUAAGCCUCCUCACAGUGACAUACCACCUCAUCAGGCACCUCUUGCUCCUGACCAUGCUCCAUUGAUGGAUUUAUUUACUCAUAUUAGCUCUCUAGGCACUCGCAUGAAGGAGUUUGUUGUAGUUAGUGAUACAUGGUUCUACUCCAUAGAGGAUCGCAUGGAUCAGUAUCAGACUGGCUUCACGUCACAGUUUGAGUAUCUCCAAUAGAGGAUUGAGCAUAUUGAGGAUCACUUGAGCAUGAGAAGAUGAUGGCUUUUCUAUGCUCUGUGUUUCCACCUCCACCUCGUCAACCUUGAUUUCUUAGAGACCCAUUGUUUUCAUUUUGUAAUGUUGCCAAAAGGGGGAGAUAUUUAGGAUCUAGGACUCUAUAGGAGACUUACAUGCAUAUCAUUUUCAUAUCAUUGUUUGGAUCGUACAUAUUGGAUAGUGAUACUUUUUACUUAUAUAUGAUAUGCCUAUAUGUUUCAUGUCUUACAUUGUUUCUUAUUGCAAAUUAUCUCUAACAUGUCUUGAUUAUCUUUUUUUUAACUUCAUAAAUUUUGAUUGUUAACCCAUGAUUGGUUUGAGGGGAAGAUUCUUCUUCUCCUAGAUAACCAAGGUUUGUCAUCAUAAAAAAAUUGGAGAUUGUUAGCCCAAGGGUUCUCCUAAUCAUGUUUUGAUGAUAACAAACCAUGCUUAAGUUACUAAUUGGUUUGAAUUAUAAAGAAUUUCAAGUGUUAAUUUGAAAAUUCAUCAAAGAACCUAAUGGAUGCAAGAUCAAGAUUUUUGGAAGACCUUUAAUCAUAAGAAACAUAUGUAAGAUGAAUGCAUGGGUGCACUUAAGAUUUGCAUAUCAUUUCAUGCAUAUUUGGAAAACACGGUUUAUGCUUUAAAGUUACAUUUCCAUCAAAAUUUGAGAUCCAUCAAAUGAACCUUAGGAAAAAUGUUUUAAAAUUGGCAUAUAAUUUUACCUAAAGACCUUGCCUAAGUGUUAGAAGCAAAAGGACAAAAAAAAUAUAGGUUUUCUGGUCAAAAAUGGUGAACCAGUCAAGGCAUUGUCUAAAUCAGCUCAAUCGGCCAAGGUACCGGUCGAUCGGUUUCCCUUUCCCUGUCGAGAUCUAGUCAAGAGGUACAAAAAUCACAAUCUCUGUCUCUUUCUCUCUUUGUCUAUCUUCCAGUAGUCUUUCCUUCCCGGUCGAGGGAUUUGCCUUCCCGAUUGAGGUCCGAUUGAGAGUAAUAGUCACUUGCCAAAUAUUAAAUGCUCCAACAGUUAGUGAACUGGUCGACCCCCACCUUGCCCAGUUGAGGUUACUUUUUGGUUUUCUUGGCUCCCGAUGUUAGAAACCUAUAAAUAGAGAGUUCCACUUCAUUUAUGAGCAAGAGAACACUUGCAUUUAUUUGUUUACCUACUUGUUCUUGCCUUAAAAGCUCUCAUUUCUUUUCUUGGUGCAUUAAAUCUCCAUUUUGAUAUCCUUUAGUGCACCUUUGUGAUUCAUCUUAGCCUUGAGUUGUAUUUGAGCCCUUUUUUUAGCUAGGUUGAGAGUUUCAUACUUGUUAAUUGAGUGUUAAAGCCUUCAAGUGAGUUGAAACUUGUAGAGAUUAUGUGAGAGUCGAUUGGAGCCGAAAUCCAAGUGUAAAGGUGAUUAGAAGCUUGGUUGAAGCUUCAAGUUAGUGGAAUCCUCACUCAAUUAGGAGCUUGAGGAGAGUGGACGUAGCCAAGGAAGUGUCGAACCACUAUAAAAUUUGAGUUUGAUUUCUCUAACAUUGUCUCUUUAUAUUUGUUUAUCUUGUGCUUAAAUUUAUUGUGUUUAAAAAGAAUUUUUAAAUACCCAAUUCACCCCCCUCUUGGGUGUUUUUCUCUUUUAAAAUUAGCCUUUAUUUUCUCACAAACUAUUGUAGUAUAGUGGUUUUUAGGUGUCAUCCAUUAGGAUGAAUUGUUCUCGGUAAUUAAGGCGUGAAUGAGAGGAGAAUUAAUGAUUGUGAUUAAGUAAAAUUGAUUUGAAAAUUCAUGGUGAAAAAUCAAUUUAACAAUGGUUUCUAAUUGAGAAAAACAAUGAAAUGUGAAAUAAAAUAAAAUUAAUAGGAAAUGAAAUUCUCGAAGUUAGAAUUUUCUAAAAAACAAAUUCCAUGGUGAAUGGAUGUUGAGAUCUAAUUUUCAUCAAGUUAGAUUGAAAACCGAAAUUUUCAUAUAAACUGAUUUUUUAUUUAGUUUUAGGUCUAGAUUUAAUUUCCCUUAAAAUUAGGUUAUUUAAUCCAAGAAAUCAAUUCAAAUCAUAUAUUCAAUUCAUCUUAAAUUAUCUUCCAAUUAUUCACACAAUGCAACUAUUCAAUCUCAUCAAAUCUAGCUUUUAAGAAUUUAAUGAAUCUACCUAGUUUGCAUUGUAAUAGUCAUCCAUGACAAUUUGAAGAGAAAAAUAAUUCAAUUAAUCAAUCACUUGGAUCAAAUUACCUUUGCAAUUAAAGUUCAUUUCUCUAAUUCACCACAGAUUUUGUCUCUAGAUCCUCCUUUCUCAAAGAAAAAUGAGAUUUAGCCACACAUGAUUGGAGAUUUGGUCUCAUAAGGCAUGUUUAGCUAGUGAUAAAAUGAGAGAAAAUAAAGAAAAAUAGAGAAUUCGAUUAAGAAAGAAAAUCUAAAAAAUUCUACAAUUAGAAAUGUCCAAAAAGCUUUUUCAUGAGAAAAUCAAGUUUCUAUUUAUAGGCCAAGGUCAAGUGGACACUUGACAUCAUCUAAGAGGUCUUCCGGAAGCUUCUUCAUCAAGAAAUCUGGAGUUUAAUAAUAAAAUGGUCAUUUCACAAGAGCUCAAACAAUUUCGCAUGAUUAUGUGAAAUAAAAAAUGCAACAACAGCAAUUUACAUCUUCUUGGAGCAUUUCGCAUGACUGUGUGAAAUUUUCACAUGAUCAUGUGGAAUCGACUUGACAACUCUCAUUUAGCCUACAACAUAAUUCCACCUUUUGGUCCAUUUUUCAUAGUCAUGCGAAAUGGAAAUAUUUGAUUUUUAAGUUUUCUUUUGUCAUUUCUUUCAUUUCCUUCUCUUGAUUCCACUUCAACUACCUCCGAAUCCUGGUCCAAACCAAUUGCAUUACUUCUUUCAUUAUGCAUUUGGAUCAUCAUCAACAUUAUUUGUUCUCUUCAAUUUGAUUCAUCUCUUUUGUCACCAAUUUAUCAAAAUCAUACCUUGAAAUGACUCCAAAACUUCAUAAAACUUGUUAGUAACUCUUGCAAGGGCAACAACAUAUUAAUUAAGUGUUUUAGGCAUAGUUACUACUCAAAAGAUGCGAAACUCAUGAUAAUUAUUAUAUAAAAUAUGCUCUUUUUGAGUAGUAAUCAACUUUCUUGCAUAAGCAGACCUUUUAGGGUGGAGUACUAAAGACCAAUAUGCUUGUCCUUGUUGUAAUAAAGAAACUUGCUCUUAUUGAUUGCACCAUGGGAGAAAAUUUUGCUACAUGAGUUAUCAUCAAUUUCUUCCCACCAAUCAUAGAUUUAGACGUGACAAGAGGCCUCUUAAUGGCAAGGAGGAACUGACACUCACACUUAUACAAUUAUCGGGCAUUGAUGUGUUGCAACAAUUAGAAUAACUUACACCAAUUAUGUUGGGGAAGUCACAAAAGGCAAACAUGAAAACUAAAAGGAAAAAAGAAAAAUGUUACAUAUCACCACAACUGGAAAGAAAAAAGUAUUUACUUUCAUUUGCCAUAUUGGAAAGCACUUAUUUUACAUCAUAAUAAUUUAGACAUAAUGCAUAUUGAGAAAAAUGUGUGACAAUAUAAUUGAGACAUUGUUCAGUAUUGACGAAGAAACAAGGACAACCUAAAUAGUCAUCUCGAUUUACAAGCUCUAACUAUUAGAAAUGAGAUUCACCCAAUAGAAAGCAGGACCAAAUUUAUUUUGCUUGCAACAUGCUACUCACUCACCCCAAAUGAGAUUAAGGAAUUUUGCAAGUUUUUGAAAUCAAUAAAGGUCCCCAAUGGCUAUUCUUUCAAUAUCUCUCGUUAUGUGCAACUCAAUGAAAGGAAGAUAUAUGAGCUCAAAUUGUAUGAUUGUCAUGUCCUAAUGCAACAACUUCUCUCACUUGUAGUUCGUGGAGUUCUACAUAAGAAUGUUUGUGGAGUUAUCAUAGAAUUGCGUAAUUUUUUCAAGCAAUUGUGCUCAAAGGUGUUAGAAACAAAUCACUUACACCAACUUGAGAACAAUAUUAUUGUCAUACUAUGUAAAAUGGAGCAAAUAUUUCUUCCAUCAUUCUUUGAUAUUAUGGUGCAUUUACUUGUGCAUCUAGUAAGGCAAAGGUUGCAAGACUUGUGCAAUAUUGUUGGAUGUACCUAAUUGAACGAUAUUGUUAUAAUUUCAUAUGAAUCAUUUAAUUUUAUUUUAUAUUAUGUUCAGUUCAUUAACAUGUACAUUGGUCUACAUAUGGAUGAUGAUAGGUACCUAAGCACUUUAAAGUCAUAUGUGCGUAAUAGAACUUUUCUAGAAGGUUCUAUUGUAGAAAGGUACCUUGCAAAAGAAUGUACAACAUUUUAUUCUAGGUACUUGAAUGAUGUGGAAAUAAAGUAUAAUCACAAUGAUAGAAACUUUGUUGGUUUCAACACUAGAGGAGAUGAAAGGGGUUAUCUUUAAACAUAUUGGACAUGCAUUGGGAAAGCCCAUAUUUCAUUAACUUAGUUCAAAAGAGUGGUCACAAGCACAUUUAUAUGUGUUGACAAAUUGCGAAGAUGUCAUACCAUUCAUUGAGUAAAAAAUUUAUUUGAAUUUUAAUUAAAGCUCUAGUUUAUAUCCUUAAUCAAUGUUUUUUAAAUUCACAAGGAGCACAAGCAAACCAUCAAGGCUAGACCACAUAUACGUGUUUGAGACGUAGAUUUAAUUCAUAACAAGGAAUUUAUCAAGUGGUUUGAAAGACAUGUAAGUAUAUUCCUUAUUAUAAGGGAUUUAUUUCACAUUAUGUUUAUAUUGAAUCCAAACCUAUUAUUGAAUUGUAGGUUGAACAAUUACAUAAUGAAGGUCAUAUAUCUGAACACCUUCUCACAUUAUCAUGUGUUCCAAAUUCAUUAGUUACAUGCUUCAAAUGAUAUAUUGUCAAUGGAUUUAGAUCCCACAUUAAAGAACGUGAUAAAAAAGUUUUUAAAAAAAGACUCAGAAUAAUGGAAUUGUUGUAGUUGCAAAAACGUCAAGCUUUACAAGUGCAUGUGAUAUGAGUCCAAUUAUUAGUGAUGCUCUCUACUAUGGUGUUCUAACUAAAGUUGUUGAGUUACAUUAUCUUGGUGAAAAUAAGGUUGUUUUAUUCGAGUUUGAUUGGUGGGAUGUUACAAAUAUUGGAAAAUUGAUAAAAGAUGAUGAGUACAAUUACACAUUUGUUAACUUUGCAUGAAUUCUAACCACGAACGAACGAUUUGUACUUGCAUCUCCAGCAAAGUAAGUGUUCUAUGUGAAGAAUGCGAAUGAAUCAGAUUGGCAUACUAUCAUGGAGAUGCAACCUCAAGACCUCUAUAAGAUGAACGGGAUAGGAUCCAAUGGUGAUUUUGAACCAUUUCAACAAAGUGAACUACAUGAUCACUAAUAUAUCUCAGAUUUAGUUGAUGAAGAUAUAAUCAAGUGGAACAAAAGUGAUGUUUUAGGACUAAUCAUCCUAAAAAAUAUUGUAGUUUCUUAAAAAAAAAAUGAAAAUGAAGAAGAUAAUUGAACCUUUGUCAUACUUUAAAAAGCAACUAUGCAUUGUUCAUUUUGUAUGUUUUGGUUUUCUUCAUUUAAUUUCCUGAUUUUUGUGAUUCAAUGUCAUAUUAUUGAUCUUGAAAUAUUUUUCUAAUUUUUCAUUCUACGAUGGUUUCAACAAGGAUGACAUCAAGUCAAAAAAGGAAAUGUGGUCCCACACACAAUAUUGCAUUACAGGGAUUAAGGUCAGGGAAGAAGGUAAAAGUUGCAUUUAAUGAGUACAAUCAAUUGGUUAAACAGAAAAAUGGAAAACACUUAUCGAGCUACAUAGGGACACUUGUAUCUAACCAACACAAUGUACCUCUCCAAGCUAGUGAUUGGAAAAAUGUUCCAAAUGAUGCAAAAGAGAAAGUAUGGCCUUUGUUUUGGUAUGUUGUAUUUCUCACUAUAUGAUGUCAUUUCACUGUUAUUCUAUUUUGUGACUAACGUUUGAAUCAUAUGUAAGAAAAAUUUGAAGUAGAUAAAGACUGAAAAGAUUACAUGUUGGGUAUAGCCUCAAAUAAAUAUAGAAGCUAUAAAAAUAUGAUGAAUGCAAAAUACUAUGACCCUUGGCAUAAGGAUGCAUGAGGAGAGGUUAAUACAUAAAUCACCAUUUGUCUCUGAUGUUGAUUGGAAGUGGCUUGUCUCUGAUGCAUAAACCAAAUCCCCCACUGAAUGUUUGAUAUUUGAUAGCAGGAAAAACACACCCGCAGCUAUACACCUCCAUCAUUCAGAUAAUUAUAGUGGGGGAGAUGAUUCAUGGUUGCCCUUAUACCCUUUAUUUGCACCAUCUAUUGAGAUUCUUUAUCAUGGCCAGGUUUUACUGCAGCAAUAAGAUAUGGUGGCAACAAUUUUAUCUAUAGGUGCGGUUCCAGACCGCCUCCAUAGGUGCGGUUCCUGACUGCCUCCAUAGGUGCCUCUUCUUGUAAUGUUUGUUCUGGGAAUUACACUUGAAAGCCUUAUCGUGAUAAGGGAUUACAAACACUAGUUCAGAGGACAGCCAUGUUAAACUUCCACUAUGUUUGUGUCACAUUAUCAGCAGCCUAGUGUUUAUUGGUCAUGCUAUCUGCAACUAAUAUAACCCGGUGAACUUCAAUCUAAAUUCUGAAAGUACUCAUGUGACAGAUGGUGCCUUUCAGCAGAUAUCAUCAAUUUAAAAGUAGUGUGUGUGCCUAUAGGUGGGAAGGCCUUGGCAAAUGUUCAGUAUUCCGGUAAUUCAAGAAGGAUAUAUCUAAAAUAGAUUUUCUUCUUGCCCAUUUCAAUAGUUAAAAUUUGAGAAGAUUGUGUCCACAUCACACAAAUAUUAUUGGUCCUUCUGUUGCAAUUUACCUCUGAACAUGUCUUCCAAUUCCCACGGUCCUGUUACUCCAGGAAAACUAUUUCGGUCAUAUUGAAAAAAAAAAUAUUAAAGAAGGUACACAUGCUUUUAAGUGGACUGGGGCAUUCAUAUCAGGUGGUCUGUAUCCACAUAUGCCACUUCGUGAAAGGUGGAACAGCCUAAUCACUAGGCUAUUUAGUGUGGCCCAGCCACGUUAAUCAAGCACAAGUCUUCAUACUUAAAGUCAAAUGGUGUCUUUAGUCUCAUUACACAUCGCUAUUUGAAGAUUAACUCAUCACUAGUGUAAUGCGAUUAAGACAGUCCUAACUCAAUAUUUGUUCUAGUUUUGGAUGCAAAUGCUUGCUGGUUUCAUCAUUGGAUGGGAUAAAGGUGCAAUCAGGACUAUGAAUACGUGCAGUAAUACUUCAUUCUCUUUUUUCUCAAUGAGACUUCUUGGCACAAUUUUGCUGCUCAGCAACCUACCUUUCCAUGGAAAAUCAGUUGUGACUGAUAGUAAUGGAUAUAUUCUAGAAAGCUAAACAUAGAUAGCAUUCAAUAUUAUCGAUAUAACAUUAACAGCGUAUGUCUCAAUGCUCAUCAGCUACAAGCAAUGGACAAACACUUUGAGUAACUCACAGCAGUCAAAAUUCCUAAACAGGACAGACGUGACAGAUCUAUAUAUAGAACACUGCAUAUGAGUCACAGGAAAAGAUAAUACGGGUACAUAGAAGCUCUUAUUUUACAUAUUACUCAUACUGAUCAAAGUCGCUCAGUUGGGAUGGAUGGGAGAAGGAGGUUUGAGGGGUGGCUUGUGCGGGGAAGUUGGCAGCUUCUUUCCGGGAGCUGGUUGCUUCUUUGCUGGAGUUGAAGGAGGCUUAAUCUUCCGAGGUGGCUUGUAUGAGUCUUCAGCAUUCUCAGCAGGAGGGUGACCAGGGUUGUGACCAUAAUGUGGUGGCUUCUCUCCCUUAGGUGGUUUGCCAACUGGGGUUGGUGGCUUGUUUUCUGGGAGUGGCUUCUCUCCCUUGGGUGGUUUGCCAACUGGGGUUGGUGGCUUGUGUUCUGGGAGUGGCUUCUCCCCCUUGGGAGGUUUUUCGAAUGGGGUGGGUUUGUGUCCUGGUGGUGGCUUCUCUCCCUUGGGAGGUUUACCAAUUGGGGUCGGUGGCUUGUGUUCUGGGAGGGGCUUCUCUCCCUGGGGAGGUUUAGUGGGUGGCUUGUGUUCUGGAGGUGGCUUCUCCACCGGAGGCUUAUGCUCUGGUGGUGGCUUCUCGAAGGGGGGAUGCUCAGGGUAAUCACCAAGUGAGGGGGUGGUGAGAACCACCAUGCCAAGCAACAACACUAGCAAGUAUGUAGUAGACAUCUUUGGGUUUGGACUCAGACAGUGCAAAACUACGAGAAAUCGCUAGCCCUUUAUAGCGGCUCGGACCUAAUACUGACAUAAUAUAAAAUAAAUAUUAUAUUUUAUCAAGAGAGAACAGAGUGUAAUUUUAUCAUUAAUACCGAUCGAGGCCAAAGAAAGAAGACCCAUAAUCCAUUUCCCACAAGCAUACACAAUGCAGCUGUAAUUUUAUCAUUUACUUUUAUCCCUUGGACCACUGCAUUUUUGUUGAGAGACACAAUAACACAUUUUUAUCUGUCAUUCAACAUUUACAGUAAAGAGAGGGCACAAAACGCAAUUAGAUAAAUUAUGUUUUGCCUGCUAAAAAGAGGCAAAUAACUUUAUUUGCAACAUAAUUAUUUUGGUUUCUAGUGACCCCGGGGCCUUUCGGUUGGUUUGGGAUCGGAAAAUGAACAUCAUAGGGGGGGUUGUGCCCUUAUGGGCAUAUAUAUCUGAUAGCUUCAACUGGCCUUGUUCCUAGAAAGAAAUUGCCAAAGAUAUAAACUUAUUCCAGGCUGAAAGUAGAUGAGAGUCAUAAUGAACAUCAACCUUUGUUCAGUUUGAUUCAAUGCCCCCAUAGUGUUCAUUUCACAGAUCUGAAUGAUUAUAUCCGUUGAAUACAUAAAUUAAUGAAGACAAAUAUGAAACCCAAGAUACAUCUCUGCAUAACAACCCCAACCCUGGUUGCUAUGUUUCCCUUCUUCUAUUCACAUGAGGAUACUGGUUAUAAUUGUCAAACUUGCAACAAGCCCUUUGACACCUAACGUCAAUGGACGAAUUAAAAGUCUCCUUCAAACGUCUAUUUCACAGCAUGAAGCUUAUAAAGGAUGCUGACAACCUUCAGAGUUAGCGACAAAAGAUAAUUAUCAAGGAGAGAUAGUUCCAUGAGAAUUCCAAGGAGUCUGAAUCAAAGACAAAUUGCUCACUCAAGGGUUCUUAUUUUCUUUUAGGUACAAAUCUCUUGAGUGUUGUUAAAGAAACACGUCACUGUCAUUUUGAUUUGCAUUUAACAUUUCACUUUUGUUCUGGAAGGUUUGUUCCGGAAACAUAUCAAAUGAGCAUCAUUUUCUUCUUCGGUGACACAUGGUCGCGAGUACGUGGGUCCAUUUUCAUGCCACUUAGUUGAAAAGUUGGAAAGAAAAAACAUGCCAACAAGAAGAUAGUGAGAGAAGGGGCACUUCAAGCCUUUAACAUGAACAAACAGUAAAUAAAAGAUGUUUCUCCACUCAUAAAAGUGUGUUAGAUAGCAAUAUAACGAAUCACAUCCAAAAUCUUUACUAGGCUCAAACAUAAAGAAGACUCAUUUUUAAGAAAAGAUAAAAAUGGCAUUGUCUGAUAGUAUCCAAUACACGAGAUGGCACUUAAUUUGUACAAGAUCUGUCAAUGCUGACGCACAUUUUCUGAUUAAAAAAAAACUGAUCAGUCAAAAGCAAUGAAGAGAAGUGAUGACAAUGAAUGAUGCUUCCAAUAUUUUCACCCCUUAUAGUGUUCUUCAUGAUUCAGAUAUAUAAUUGGAAAUAGAACAACCCUAUGCCAUACAUUCGUCUAAGUAUGGUGUCUAAUUUUUUGUGUCAGCGGUUGCGAAUGGAGCGUGCAAAAGUCCAAAUUGGCGUCUCUCCAUUUCCACAUAGGAAGGUGACCUUUAUUGACAAAUACCCAAUAUUUGUAGACAUUCCUUAAAUAUCAUAACUUCUUGUUGAUUUGAAAAUCAUUUUUCAACUACCAUGUUUUAAUAAAUAUUUUUUAAAAUGUAUUUUUAUCAAAGUCCACCAUGAUGGAUAAUAUUCACCAUGCAAUAAUUAAUAAAGUACAAACUAAGCGAAAUGAAAAGCAUUUUCUUUGCUUUGAGUUGAUUUUGGUUGCAUUGAGUUGAUUUUGGUUUCAUGGUUUUUUCAACUCUUAUUUUGAUUGGAAGAUGUCAAGAAAAGAAAACAUAAAGAAAAAUUAAAAGGGAAAAAAGAAGAAAAAUAAAAAAAAAUAGAUUUAAAAGUUAAUAAAUUAUUUUUUAUAUUUAUUUUAAUUCAUUUCACUUAUUUUUCUUUUACUAUAUAAAAUUUAAAUAAUUUAAAUUUUAUAAUUAAUUUAAUUACAUUUCAUUUUCUUCUAUAUUUAAAUAUUGGAAAAAUAUUUUACUUAAUAUUUUUUUCUUUAAUUUCUUUGGCAUUUUGGGAACCAAACUUAGCCUUUAAAAUAAAAAACAAAAAAAAAAUGAAAAUAAGGAGGGAAAAGUGAGAAAAGAUAAAAACAAUAUGUAAAGGAUUUGAAAAGUAUUAGUUUGUAAUUACUAUUUGGAUUUCAAUAGUAUUUUAUUUGUCUUUCUAUAUUUCAUGUAAGAGAGAAUUUAAGAUAUUCCCCAAGGCAAAGCAUUAGUUACCUGCAAUCAGUGGUGAUAAGGCUCCAAGCCAAUUUUGGGCCCCAUAUCUUAAGACAGUACAAUUUCCAUUUCAACAUUUCUGAUUUCUCAGAUGUUUCACAUACCACAGAAGAACAUUGUUUGUGAAAAUAUGCAUUUAUGUUGGAUUUUGUAUGCUGUGGGGACUGGGGCAAGGAUCAUAUGGAAGAGUGGUUGACUUUUUCUGUACUUUAACGGUUGAAAUAGGAUAAGCACGGGCAUUUGUGAGGCUUAAUUGAUUUUGAAGCCUGAAAUUGCGUUUCUGUCAUUUUGUCAAAAAAAUGGCAGAUUCCAUACUCAUAUGUUUGGCCUGUGGCCAUGUACAGAUGCCAUUUAGUGACCAGUUUGUAACUGUCAAUCGUUGCGUUUUGACUCUGCCUCAACAACAUCUGCCAUUGACGGGUUUUCAUACUUGCAAAUCAAAUAGUCUUUCGUCCCAUCAGGAAUUUCGGUUUAAAUAUUAUUAAGCAUACGUUUGGCUGACAAUCAUUAUCCAGUUCAUGAUUUGGUUUCUUACCCUUAAUCAAUGGUUUCUAAGUGAAUAUAUGUAGAAGGAAAUCCGAAGUGUAGACAGUAGUAUCGAUAACUCUCAAUAUUCUCUAUAUAAUAGAAUAAACAGCGUCAUAGUGAUCGUCGCCUACAAGCAAGGUACAAAUACCAAAACGAGUGACUCACAUAGACAUCUCCCAACAAGAUGUAGUAGUGACUGACACAUGGACACAAUUAACUCGUAGAAAAGGAUAAGACCAUUGCACAGCAGCUCUUAUUUUACAUACUACUUAUGCUAACCAAAGUCAAUUAGUUGGGAUGGGUGGGAGAUGGAGGUUUGUGCGGUGGCUUGUGGGGCGGAGUUGAUGGCUUCUUUCCAGGAGCUUCUGGCUUUUUCAUCGGAGCUGAAGGAGGCUCAAUCUUAUGAGGCGGCUUGUAUGAGUCUUCUUUACUCUCGACAGGAGGGUGGCCAGGGUUGUGAUCAUAAUGUGGUGGCUUCUCUCCCUUAGGUGGCUUGCCAACUGGGGUUGGUGGCUUGUGUUCAGGAAGUGGUUUCUCUCCCAUGGGAGGUUUAGCAAUUGGGGUUGGUGGCUUGUGUUCUGGGAGUGGCUUCUCUCCCUUGGGAGGUUUAGUAGGUGACUUGUGUUCUGGAGGUGGCUUCUCCACCGGAGGCUUGUGCUCCGGUGGUGGCUUCUUGGUUGGAGGGGGCUUGGGGUAAUCAGCAAGAGAUGGGGUGGUGAGAACCACCAGUCCAAGGAACAACACUAGCAAGUAUGUGGGAGACAUUUUUGAGUUUGGGCUGAUCAGAUGAUGCAAAACUAAAGCAUUACGUGACCUUUUAUAGCAUGUAGCUCCCAAUACCCACUAAGUAUUGUGGGGUCCAUUUGUGCCCUACGGGGUUGAAAACUUAGACAAUUGGGCAAGGACCCACCUGACUAUGGAGGACUAGUGAGGUGUGAUCAUAGCUUUAGGAUUUUUCUUCCUCUGCAGCCGUCGUGCCGUUGGCAUGAUUUUCUUAAUCUUAAAUAAAGGCAUAGUUAUAGAGUUGUUUAAUCUCUAAAUGGGAUUUUAUAUAUAUCUUCAGAUAGCCAUUAAUAUAUUUGAUGAAGAAAGAAAGACAAGUGCAUACAACAUGUAUACGACUAGCUUUCAUGGAGUUCAUUUAUGAUCAGUUUUCCUGUACAUGUAAACCAGGAUCAUAUAUAUGUUUCUGUUCCACAACUAUUUUGGAAUCUUGUUUAUCAGUUUUUAUCAUUAUAAUGUCACAUAGGCUGCCAACUUGGGCGCUAAAAGAACCAGUUGGGCUAGUUCGUUUCAGAAUUUCAAUGUGGAUUCAGGAAUUGUUUUGUAAGAUAUGCGAAAUAGUAGAGGGAUGAAUAGUGUUUCAUUAAUAAAAGUGUCCUGUAAAUUAGAAGGUGUCAUAGAAACUAUAAUCAAUAAAUAACUUUUUUUCCCCACGGGUGGUGUUUCUUGUGGGGAUCAGUGACUGGUUUAGGUUCACCCAAAAUGAGUUCAGACUAAAAUUGGUUUGAGUCAAUGCCGUGUCUCUUUUUUCCAGAAAUCAACUAUUUUAUGCAUUGAAUAAAUCAUACAAAGAAAAUAUGAACGCCCGCAAAACCUAAACCCUGGUUGCUAACUUUCUAUGUUUCAGUUCUAUUCACGCAAGAAUAUUAGUUUAAGUUUGGGAAAAAUGGCAACUUACCUAGUGAUUACUUGGUUUUGGUUUGCGACUAUUUACGCAACCAACCAUGAGUUUGACUUUAACGUCAUGGGUUGAAGCCUCCUACAGGAAGGGAGAAAGCUCCACAGCUAGCUCCAAAAGAGAAUUAUCACAUUGAUAGCUCCAGAGAUUCCCAAGGGGACUGAAUCAAAGACAAGUUCCUCACUUUUUCUUCUUUUGAGGCCAAAUAUGAACCAAGGAUCACACAACCUCAUUCAACUUCAUAAGUUUGAUUUCAUGCAGUUGAACACUGGGUGAAGGCCAUGACAAGAAUUGAUUCAAAAAUUCUAUCACUCUUUUAAGUAAUGGAAGAUUAUUAUCUCUGAUUGGCAUCACAACAGCACAUGCUCCUAGAUCUUUCUAGACACUCCAUGCAAUGAAAGCACAAUGGAUCUUGUAACGAUAGAAACUAAGCCAUGCUACAGUACUAGAUGAUGAGGUAAAACUAGUAGACACGGGUGGCAGCCUAUAUGGGAGGGACACAAGUCUAAUUGAUUUGCAUUUCAGCAUUAUAGAUAGGUAUGUUUUGGAAGAUUUGUUCUGGAAAUACCGCACCAAGUAGGAUUCUUUUUCUCUUUAGUGGGUCCACUUGCAUGCCAAUUAACGAGUUGAAAAGUAUGAGCACCUACCUCGUGCUCGUGGAACCGAAGGUCAGUGAAGUGGGGCUCCUUUUGGCCUCGUGUAAACUUGAUUCAGAAGUGAAGUUAAUAGUCUUCCAUUCAGAUGGAUACAUGGGAAUUUUUCUCUUUUAUUUAUUUAUUUAUUUUUUUUUUGUGUGUGUAUGUCAAAGGAUAAUGAAUGAAGCGCGUUAGCUUGUUUUCUGACUGGAACCGCAGAUGUCCAAAUUGGAGUUCCUUCAUUUCUUACUUAGGAUUGUUACAUGUAUAAACAAGGUAUAAGAAAUAUGCCAACGUGUCUUGAGGAGUUAUUGAUUAGAAAUAACAAGUCACCCGACUGUAGAGUUCCAAGAUUUGAAUCUUCAGACCCUAUAGCAGCCUCUGGGGUACGUGGCAUCCUAUAGCAUAUUAAUGAAGGCUUUUUCGAUUUAGACUUCACAAUACCAAUUAAUAUGUAUGCACAAAAUGGAGAUGACCCCAAAAAAAACAGAAUCGCCAUAGUUUAUGAGGUUAAGGUGAUUCUCCACUUAAUAUCUACAUUAGCUAAUUAUGUAAAUCAAAUGAACUUCUAUUUUUCCUUUUUUUUUUUGGUUUAUGUCAAAUAGUAGCCCAUAAUUAACCCAACCAUUAGCCUGUUUGAAUUGAUUUCACAUGCACAAUGUUGUAGUAGUUCAUAUUUUGAAUUUUAUUUUUACAAAGGUAGUUAAGGAAAAUGAAGUAUAAUAAUUAUAAAAGCAGACUAUAUACACUACAAUAAUUGUUAGAAUGGUAUCUCAAAUUCUAAUUUAAAAUAUUAUUUUUUGUAAAAGAAAUAUUAUAUAGAAUAUUUCCUAAUUUUAUAAAUGAUUAUAAUUAGAUCUUUAUAAAAUAAGGAAAGUUGGUAAGAAUAUCUUUAUAAAUAUUUUAGGUCAUGAGAGAAAGAAAUGGGAUAAAAAUGUGAUGAAGAGGUGAAAUAAGAGAGUUGAUUAGGAUAUAGAUGUGAAGAAGAAAGGGAUUCAAUAUAUAUAUAUCUUUCAAUUACCACAUUAAAACCCUGUGAACCUUUUAUAUGGUUUACUUUAUUUUUAUAUUCCUCCUUUAAUAUAUUUACAUUAAUGCUUCCAUUGGCACAACAAUAACGAAUUACAAAUACAAGCAACAAGUCCCAUGUUUUAUUACCAAAAGCAGGUAAAAUCCACCUAAUAUAUUACAAUAUAUUCAUCCAAUAUUUUAGACCAAUUCUUCACCAUAAAUAUCAUAAUGUGGCUUUUGUUCUUUCUUAAAUUUAAAUUGAAUUGUCUUAUAUCAAUUUGUUUGUGAUUUUUUCAUUAACUUCACUUUCAUUUGGUUAUCUUUGGUUUUUGAAAAGUAUUAAGGAAUUAAUUAACAAAAUAAUGUUAAGAAAAAUAAUUUUCUCUCUUUUGAUUUUGAUUUUGUAGUAGAAAAAUAUAAUUAAAAUUAUUUAAAAAGUAUGUAAUUUUAAAUUAUUUAAUAUUUAGAUAAAAAAAAUAAGUCUAAUGAGUUUAAAAUAACAUAUAAAAAUAAUUUAUUUAUUUUAAAUUUAUUUUUUAUUUUCCAUUAUGUUCUCUUUCUCUUUUACUUUUUCAUAUUUUUUCUUACGAAGAAUCAAACACAACCUCAUAUUAUAUGUCAAGUGUUUGUCUAUAUUUGAGCAAUGUUAGAUACGGCCAUGGAUUCAUCAAACUAAACUGAUUUUAAUAGAUACUUCACAAAUUGAUUUAUACACUAAAUCAUUGGAUAGCAAUGAUGCAUUGGAAUUAAACGUAGGAUGAAGCUCGAAGAACACUGUUUGUGUAACAACAUAUUUAUGAAAUUAUGCAAAGGAUGAGCUUCGGGGUAGUAGUACAAGGUCAUUAAUGGAGAGCCGUGUUAAACCUUGAUUGUGAUUGGAUUCCGUUAUCAGCAACAGCAACCUUGUUUGUAACCUUGAAAGUCAUUCUGUCCACAUCGAAACUCCAAUUUGACGUUUGUAAUUACCAUUCCUGGAGUGUUCCUUGAUUGAAAUUUAAAUAAUAAUUGCGGCCCACAAGGAAUAUUUUCGAUUCUGUGGGAAUUUGACAAGGUUUGUUAGAGAAGACUGGUGACAUGUUGACUUCAAUGGUUCAAAUAGGAGACGUAUGUGGAUUUGGGGGGUUUAAUUGAAACUGAGUCCCUAUGGCUUUUUAAUAUUUGCAUUGAGCAGUCUCCAUGUGACUUCCUAAUUCCCACCAACCCUCCUGUCCAUGCUGUGAAACUAAAUUGUAAUUUAUCAGCCUUUGUCAAUGGUUUCUAAAUUAAAGAUAUAGACCAUGCAUGUACUUUAAUAAAAGCAAAUCUAAAGUGUAGAUAGCAGCAAUGGUGACACCCAAUAUUCUCCAUAAAAUAGAAUUAGAAUAAGCAGUGUUACAUUGUUCAUGAUCACCUACAAGCAUACAAGAACUUCCAUGAAUAACUCAUAGCAAUUGCCAACAGGGCGUCGUAGAGACUCAUACAUAGAACACUAUCCACCCAGAGGAAAGGACAAGACCAGUGCGCUGCAGCUCUUAUUUUUCACAUGUAUACCACCACUCGUAAUAACCAAAUUCACUCAGUUGGGAUAGGUGGGAGAUGGUGGUUUGUGGGGUGGCUUGUGGGGAGGAGUUGGAGGAGGCUUUAUUUUCUGAGGCGGCUUGUAUGAGUGUGCAGGAGGAUGCCCGGGAGUGUGACCAUAAUGUGGUGGCUUCUCUCCCGUAGGUGGUUUGCCAAAUGGGCUUGGUGGCUUCUCUCCCUUAGGAGGUUUACCAAUUGGGGUUGGUGGCUUGUGUUCUGGGAGUGGUUUCUCUCCCUUGGUAGGUUUGCCAAUUGGGGUUGGCGGCUUAUGUUCUGGGAGUGGCUUCUCUCCCUUGGGAGGUUUGCUAAUUGGGGUUGGCGGCUUAUGUUCUGGGGGCGGCUUCUCUCCCUUGGGAGGUUUGCCAAUUGGAGUUGGCGGCUUAUGUUCUGGGAGUGGCUUUUCUCCCUUGGGAGGCUUGCCAAUUGGGGUUGGCGGCUUAUGUUCUGGGGGUGGCUUCUCUCCUUUAGGAGGUUUGCCAAUUGGAGUCGGCGGCUUAUGUUCUGGAAGUGGCUUUUUUCCCUUGGGAGGUUUGCCAAUUGGGGUUGGCGGCUUAUGUUCUGGGGGUGGCUUCUCUCCCUUGGGAGGUUUGCCAAUUGGAGUCGGCGGCUUAUGUUCUGGGAGUGGCUUCUCUCCCUUGGGAGGUUUUGUUGGUGGCUUGUGUUCUGGAGAUGGCUUCUCCCCUGGAGGCUUGUGCUCCGGAGGUGGCUUCUGAAAUGGCGGGGGCUUGGGGUAAUGAGCAAGAGAUGGAGUACUGGUGAGAACCACCAUUCCAAGCAACAAUACUAGCAAGCAUGUGGGAGAC
rnacentral:lncRNA from 1 species